rnacentral:sRNA from 1 species
CCAAGAAACACUGUACUCAGGGCCAGAAGCGCAGGCUGCAGCGUCUAUUACAGACGAAUUCUGAAAGAAGAUGCCAGGUAGGGCACCUCAGGGCCUGGAGGGCCUCACAGGAAGGGCUCAGGCCUGUCUGCCUUUACCAAGUACAUGUUCACUCUCUUAGGUGUUUGUAGGGGAGUGGCCAAGACAGCCACGUGGCUCAGGUGUGGAAUGAAGCUAGACCAGGUGGAAGCCCAAGGGUCGGCCUCUCCAGGCAGGAGAGAAGGAUGAUCUAAGGGCAGGUGCAGGCCAGAAUGUCUGGAAAGCAUUUCUGGUGCGGGACUGCCAGUUUGGUGACGUGGACUCUGGGAAGCAAGGGGACGGGGGACAGCAGUCAGAGCUGAGCUGCUGCCCACAGAGCAGGCUCCACUGCCCAGAGGCUGAGCGGUAUCACCAAGCGGCGGACAACUGGCAGGUCAGGAAGAGGUGCCACUCCAGCCUGGACAACAGAGUGAGACCCCAUCUCUUAAGAAAAAGGAAGAAGCAGCACCAGAAGCUGCGCCCCCAGUCUUAACUGUCUGGGAGGCUGAGGCAGGAGGUUGCUUGAGGUCAGGAGGUGAAGGCUGCAGUGAGCUGUAAUGGCACCACUGCACUCCAGCCUGGACAGCAGCGCGAGACCCUGUCUGUUUUUUUAAAAAAAAGGAACACUAAACUUUGAUGUAUUGAUACUUUAAUAAAUUUCCUGUAUCUUUUUGGAAAUUUUUAUUGAUGAAACAUAAGUGGCAAAGCACUAUGAACUGCCUGUGGUGGCUUAUCUUAGGUAUUUUACAUGUAAAUAAAAUGCUGGUUGCAUCUUAAAUACCACAAGUAUUUUACUUGAGGUCCUAAACGGGGACGCGUCGUCUGUUAUCGGUUAAAUGAAAUAAGUAGCUUUAAGAGAAGUUAAUGGGUUUGGAGUGGUUCCGUCCCUGAAUUGUGCCUUGAUGAACUCUUAGCCAAAAACUGGCUCAGAUCCGAGCUUCUCCCUUUGUGCCCUGCCUUUAAACCAAAGCCGCAUCUCUCACAGAAACUCUUGCCUUUCAGAAGUCCCCACGAGAAGAAGAAGAAGAGGCGGUCCCGGUCGCGGACCAAGUCCAAGGCCAGGUCUCAGUCGGUGUCACCCAGCAAGCAGGCAGCGCCCCGGCCCGCGGCCCCCGCGGCCCCCUCGGCGCACUCAGCCAGCGUCUCCCCUGUGGAGAGUCGGGGCUCCAGCCAGGAGCGCUCCAGGGGAGUCUCUCAGGAAAAAGAAGCCCAGAUCUCUUCAGCAAUCGUUUCUUCCGUGCAGAGCAAAAUCACUCAGGAUCUCAUGGCCAAAGUCAGAGCGAUGCUUGCAGCUUCCAAAAACCUGCAAACCAGCGCUUCCUGAGACGGGGCCAGCGGAGGCAGAGCCGGGAGGCUGCGUGGGCUUCUGGGCAGGCCACACCAUCCACCUGGCCGCCUCCGUGGACCCUUGGUGGCUUUUGUAAAUUAAUUUUUGAUGACAUUUUGAGUUUUAAGAUUUCUGACCAGCAGUCUCUUACCUGUAUAUUUGUAAAUAUAUCAUG